rnacentral:rRNA from 1 species
UUGGAACAAGAUGUCAUGGAGGGUGAGAACCCCGUCUGUGGCUCGGAUACCAAGGUCCUUGUGUCGUAUCUUCGAAGAGUCGGGUUGUUUGGGAAUGCAGCUCAAAAUGGGUGGUAAAUUUCAUCUAAGGCUAAAUAUUGGCGAGAGACCGAUAGCAAACAAGUAGAGUGAUCGAAAGAUGAAAAGUACUUUGAAAAGAGAGUGAAACAGUACGUGAAAUUGUUGAAAGGGAAGCGUUUGGCAUCAGCCCAUGGCACCCGUCGAUCAUCCAGGCUUCUGUCUGGUGCACUUGUCGGGUGUCGGGCCAGCGUCGACUUUGCCUGCUGGAUAAAGGCCUUGGGAAUGUGUCUCCCCUGGGAGAGUUACAGCCCUUGGUGUCAUGCAGUGUGGUGGGGUCGUGGUCCGCGGUUUAUCCUAGGACGCUGGCGUAAUGGUUCCAAGCGACCCGUCUUGAAACACGGACCAAGGAGUCUAACAUCUAUGCGAGUGUUUGGGUGUCAAGCCCGUCCGCGCAAUGAAAGUGAAUGCAGGCGGGAGCCUUUA